rnacentral:misc_RNA from 1 species
GAUGAAGAACGUAGCGAAAUGCGAUAAGUAAUGUGAAUUGCAGAAUUCCGUGAAUCAUCGAAUCUUUGAACGCAUAUUGCGCCCUCUGGCAUUCCGGGGGGCAUGCCUGUUCGAGCGUCAUUUCACCACUCAAGCCUCGCUUGGUAUUGGGCAACGCGGUCCGCCGCGUGCCUCAAAUCGACCGGCUGGGUCUUCUGUCCCCUAAGCGUUGUGGAAACUAUUCGCUAAAGGGUGUUCGGGAGGCUACGCCGUAAAACAACCCCAUUUCUAAGGUUGACCUCGGAUCAGGUAGGGAUACCCGCUGAACUUAAGCAUAUCAAUAAGCGGAGGA